UUUGAAUUGUGCUGGGCCGAAGGGCAGUUACCCUGUAGUGGCAGCAAGACUCCGGACUUUGGUGGCUGGUUCCGGUUUAAGCCCGAAUUUCAUGA
rnacentral:tRNA from 1 species